GAUGAACGCUAGCGGCAGGCUUAAUACAUGCGAGUCGAGGGGUAGCAAGAUUGUAGCAAUACAAUUGUUGACGACCGGCAAACGGGUGCGGAACACGUACACAACCUUCCUACAAGUGGGGAAUAGCCCAGAGAAAUUUGGAUUAAUACCCCGUAACAUAGCGAUGUGGCAUCACAUUGCUAUUAUAGCUUCGGCGCUUGUUGAUGGGUGUGCGGCUGAUUAGAUAGUUGGCGGGGUAACGGCCCACCAAGUCUACGAUCAGUAGCUGAUGUGAGAGCAUGAUCAGCCACACGGGCACUGAGACGCGGGCCCGACUCCUACGGGAGGCAGCAGUAAGGAAUAUUGGACAAUGGACGCAAGUCUGACCCAGCCAUGCCGCGUGAAGGAUUAAGGUCCUCUGGAUUGUAAACUUCUUUUAUAAGGGACGAAAAAAGGUCUUUCUAGAUCGUCUGACGGUACCUUAUGAAUAAGCACCGGCUAACUCCGUGCCAGCAGCCGCCGUAACAC
rnacentral:rRNA from 1 species